UGGUUUUCUUUUUUCUUGUUUGCACUGACCAUGCUUUUAAGUUUUUGAGCGUGGCAGAGUUUGAAAAUGCAUUUCGUUUUUAAUCUGCCGGUUUUUAUCAAGUGAUAUCGACAUAACGUGUACAUUCAGGAUUAAACUGGACUAACUUAGCCUCUUGAACAUUCAGGAUUAAUACUACAAAACUCAUCAUGUGGAUUUAUGCUCCUACUAGUACCAGGUUAACAGGGAACCUAUGUAAACAUUCAGCAACACUGAACACCUCCUGGAUUUCAAUUAAGAAAAAAGAAACAUGCAUCUUCAACAACAUCCAGGAGUGCUCCAUGAGACCAUGAAACAAUUAUGUUUGCCAGAUUAGGCUGUAUCAUCCUAGUCGAGCUAGGGUGCUCAACCAACCAGUACCAGUACUCCAUGACCAUGCAUGAACCACAAGCUAUGCCUGCAUGCCGGGAACUAAAUUGAGUUAAUGUGCUAAUGGUCAGAUUGGCCAUGUAGCCUUAGCUGUAGUAGCUAGUGGCUAGGGUUUUGAAAACGAGCUAGUCAUAUCUUGGGAAUGUUGGAACAGAUAUGGCUGCACCAUUGACCCCUUGUUCGCGACAUGUAUGGCCUGGCCAGGCCAGCAGGGUUAAUUGCUGCAGAGGAGGAAGCAGCUCGGCUUGGUGUGGCAAGUUAAGGAUGCGUGCUGACUUCCAUGGAAGCGCACGCACUUCCCCGAGAGGACCUAGCCACCUAGUAAACGCUUAGCUAGCCUGCUGAUCUAGCCAUCAGUCCAAGUCUGAGCAUGUUGACUACAAGCACCGUGCU
rnacentral:lncRNA from 1 species